UACGGAGGGGGCUAGCGUUGUUCGGAAUUACUGGGCGUAAAGCGUACGUAGGCGGCUUUGUAAGUUAGAGGUGAAAGCCCGGGGCUCGACUCCGGAAUUGCCUUUAAGACUGCAUCGCUUGAAUCAUGGAGAGGUGAGUGGAAUUCCGAGUGUAGAGGUGAAAUUCGUAGAUAUUCGGAAGAACACCAGUGGCGAAGGCGACUCACUGGACAUGUAUUGACGCUGAGGUACGAAAGCGUGGGGAGCAAACAGG
rnacentral:rRNA from 1 species